UUCUUUUGAACAACAUUCUUCGUCUGACUGUGAUGAAGUAUAUCAACAAUCUCGUCCAAAGAUGAUGUCUUGGAAAGAGGAUGCUGAUUGCUGCUCAUGGGAUGGAGUAACAUGUGAUACGGUGGCUGGUCACGUGAUUGGCCUCGACCUUAGCUGUAGUUGGCUUCACGGCAAUAUCCCUUCCAAUAGUAGCCUUUUCUUUCUUCCUCACAUACGAAAGCUCAACUUGGCUUUCAAUGAUUUUAAUUACUCCGAGAUUUCUUCUGGUUUUAGUCAACUUCGGAGCUUGACACUCCUUAACCUCUCUUCCAGCAAUUUCAUGGGGUCAAUUCCUGCAUCAAUAGGUAAUAUCACCCAACUUUCUUAUUUGGAUCUUUCAUAUAAUAAUUUUAAUGGUCACAUACCAUCUUCCUUUUCAAAUCUUGAGCAGCUUCAUUAUUUAAUUCUGAGGAGCAAUUUUUUCGUUGGUAAAAUUCCUGAUAUUUUUACCAAUCUAACCCAACUUUCUUACUUAGAUUUCAGUAGUAACCAACUUUCUGGCUCAAUUCCGAGCUCAGUCUAUGAGCUUGAGAAUUUGAUUCUUCUCAGACUUUCUUCAAACAGAUUAAGCGGCACCGCUGAGCUGUACGAUUUUGCAAAGCUCAAAAAUCUUAAAUGGCUAUUUGUUUCUAAUAAUAGAUUAUCAUUGAGCACCAAAUUAAAAGUCAACUCUUCCUUUCCCAAUCUUUUUGGGUUGGGUUUAUCUGCUUGCAAUGUAAGUGAAUUUCCGGACAUCUUAAGAACCCUGCAUCAAUUGCAGUGGUUGAACCUUUCUAAAAACCGAAUUCAUGGUAGGAUUCCUAGUUGGAUGUGGGACUUAGGAAUAGCUACUUUGUAUUACCUAGAUCUUUCCAACAACUUCCUGACAAACAUUGAAUAUUUUCCACCGACAAAUAUGACCCAACUUAACUUUGAUUCGAACCUAACCCACAAGGUCUUGGAUAUGAGAAUGAACAACUUCAAUGGAAAAAUCCCUCGAAAGUUUGUAAAAAGUUGUAAUUUGACGAGUCUUAACCUUAAUGGAAAUCGGCUGGAAGGACCACUGCCACCAUCUUUGGUGAAUUGUCAUCACUUGGAAGUUUUAAAUGUUGGGAAUAAUCAAAUCAAUGAUAACUUCCCCAAUUGGUUAGAAAUUCUUCCAGAAUUGCAAGUUCUUAUCUUGCGUUCCAAUAGAUUUUGGGGUCCCAUUGGUGAGAACACAACAAUAGUUCCAUUCCCUAGCUUAAGAAUAAUUGAUUUGUCUCACAAUGAAUUCACCGGAGUUUUGCUAACAGGAUAUCUUGAUAAUUUUAAAGCCAUGAUGCAUGGGAAUAAUAUUAGUGUUGAAGUGGAUUAUAUGACACCUUUGAAUUCUUCUAAUUACUAUGAAUCAAUAAUUUUGACUAUCAAAGGCAUUGACAUCAAAAUGGAGAGAAUUCUAACCAUUUUUAUGACAAUUGAUUUGUCGAGUAAUAAAUUUCAAGGAGGAAUUCCAGAAGUGGUGGGAAAGCUCAAUUUACUCAAAGGUCUCAACAUUUCUCACAACAACCUGACAGGUGAUAUUCCAUCAUCGUUGAGAAAUUUGACCGAGGUCGAAUCUCUAGACUUGUCUUCAAACAUGCUUGUUGGGCAUAUUCCAACGCAAUUGACGAGCCUGAAAUAUCUUUCAGUGCUAAAUCUUUCGUACAACCAGUUUGAGGGACCUAUACCUCGAGGAUCCCAAUUCAAUACAUUUCCAAAUGAUUCAUAUGUUGGUAACUCAGGGUUGUGUGGAUUCCCAUUGUUAGAAAGCUGCAACAUUGAUGAGGCGCCAGAACCAGUAGGGUCAACAAGAUUUGAUGAAGAAGAAGAUGCCUCAAGUUGGUUUGAUUGGAAGUUUGCUAAGAUGGGUUAUGGAUCUGGAUUGGUGAUUGGCUUGUCCGUCGGAUACAUGGUAUUUGGGACUGGAAAGCCACGAUGGCUUGUAAGGAUGAUUGAAAAGUAUCAAUCUAACAAGGUCAGGAUAAGAGUGAGCAGUCUUGGUAUCGCAAGAAGAAAUUAGUAAGUGCAUCACUUUCUCAUAUUAGUUUAAGUAGGUUACAUGCUGAUAUUUUCCAUCAUCUCAACUAAUAUUUUAACCAUAUAUUAAUAAUCUGAUGUGUUUUUUGUUCAGGAAUUUUACACUCAUGGAAUGGAAUUAAGCUGUCGAAGUCAAAUAAUCACCCUCCAGGUACAGAAAUUAAUUUUCUCGCUUUUAUUUCCAAUUCCUAAUAAUAUACUAAGACUUAAUCUUUUGUUGGAAAGCUUGAUCAAAAUUCUGAGGGAAAAAAUCAUUUGAUUAAAUAAUGUUGCUGUAAGAAAUGGGGUUGGGGCAGCUUGAUUUGGUGUAUCUUGCCUUCGGUAGGCAUGUUUGAUUAUCUGCCAGCAUUUAGAAGAUUUUGAUAUUGGGAAUAAUCAAAUUAAUAAUAACUUUUCCCACUGGUUAGAUGUUCUUCCUAAAUUGCAAGUUCUUAUAUUAUGAUCUAACUGAAUUUGGGGUCCCAUUAGUGAUACCAAAAUAAGAGUUCUCUUCCUAAGUAUUGAAUAAUUGAUCUCUUUAACAAUGAACUCACUGAUGUUUUACCAACAUGGUUUCUGGAAAGCUUUAAAGCCAUGAUUCAUGGAGAUAAUAAUACUAUUGAUAAUGAAGUAGAAAAUAUAAUUAUCAAUUCAAAAAGUUUCUUCAACCACGAAUCAUUAAUUUUUGCUAUGAAAGGAAUUGACAUACAAAUGGAGAGGAUUCUAGCCAUUUUCAUGACAAUUGAUUUGUUAGCAAUCAGUUUCAAGGAGGAAUUAUAGGAGUGGUGGGAAUGUUUAAUCCACUCAAAUGUCUCAACAUUUCUCGUCAAUAACCUCACAGGCGAUAUUCCAUCAUCAUUUGGAAAUUUGACAAAGCUUGAUCUUUAAACCUCUCCCCAAACAAGCUUGUUAGGCUGAUUCCAAUGUAAUUGGUGAGUUCAAAUACUAUUUUGGUGCUAAAUCUUUCAUACAUUUUUAAAUGAUUCUUGUGCUAGGAACCUGGGGUAGUGUGGAUUCCCAUUGUCAAUUGCUUGCAACGAUGAUGAGGCACCAUAACUGACAGUACCAAAUUCGAGCUGGUUUGAUUGGAAGUUUACCAAGAUGGAUUACACAUCUAGGUUGGGGAUGACUUGUCCAUUGGAUAUAUGGUAUUUAUAAAUGGAAGGCCAAGAUGGUUUGUGUGGAUGAUCAAAAGAAGUAAUCUAAUAUGGUGAGAAGGGUGAUAAGACAAUGUAGAACAAGAAGAAGAAAUUAGUAAAAUUAGUAAGUUCACAUCUAGCUCAGAUGAGUAAUUAUCAAGUGUUCUUUUGGAUUUGUAAUCUUAUUAUUAUUCUUUCCCUAGAUAACAUCAUAGCAUAUUGAUAUUUUUCAAAAUUUUUAAGGAAAAGAAAUGAUUUGAAAUAGGUUGAGACUAUUUACACUCACCAUAAUACUCAAUAAACCCAUUUACUAAUCAAGUCAUCGUCUAAAUUUAAAAAUUUAUCUUUCAUUCAAUAAACCCACCUUUAUAACCAUUAUACCCUUAUUUAAAUCUCUUUCUCUUCUCUUUCUUUUUUGCGACUUCUAUAUCUCUACUUCCUCUUAGUAUUCUAUUUUUGUUUUAUAACCAAAUCAUCCACUGUUCUUGUCUUGUUGCAGUGGCUCUUUUUCAUUUUUUUUUCUCCUUGACUGAAACUCUCAAAGUUCUAUCAUGAAACACUAAAAAAAGGAUAAAGUAUAAAGAUCCUUGAUCUCAAUUAAAAGACAAUUUUUUUCACACCAAAUUGCAAGGAAAUAUAAUGUAUGUCAAAGUAAAUAAGUCUUUUAUUUAUAAGCUAUAGUUUAGUAAUGUUAAAGAGCAACAAUAAUCUUUUAUAUAUAUUGAAAAAUAAAUGCAGAUAUAAAAACUUUAGAGAGAGAAAUUAAAGACGAUUAAGUUGCAAUAAUAUUUAGCUAUAAUGAUUAUUAUAAUAAUUUAAUUUAAGGAUAUUUGUGUAAUAAAUUAUCUUUUUAGAAUUGGAUUAAUGAAUAGUUUGGUGAAUUCAAAUAACUUCGCUCUUUGAAAUAAUGUUAUAUUCUUGCAAGUCAUGAUGUAUCUCGUGUAGCUUGGGCCGUUUAUUUUGGGUUUGGGUGUAGAUCAAUGAGAGGUUGUGAAUUUUCCCUAUUGAAAUUAACAUAUACUACUUACCUUCUAUGAUUUUCAUAAUAAUCAAUAACUCUUAUGGCAACAUAAGUUUACAGUAUUAUCCUCAUUUUCUAAUACCUUUUUAUUCAUAUUUAUUAUAAAUUAAAUAAAUUAUAUAAAUGAAAAUUAAAAUAAAAAAUUUAAGUAUUGAAAAUAAGCAAUAUAUAUUUUGAUGCGAAUAAAAAAUUAAUAAUAAGAUUUUUUUUGUACUUUUUAUUUUUUUAAACUCUACCCAUUUAGAAUUUUUAGAGAUAUCUCCGAACUCCCCCAAAUAAGAAUUUUUGGGUAUAAAGGUGGGUUCGGGGAUCAUAAUCCCUGACCUCAAUUUGCCCAUUAUCAUCCCCGCCUAGUAUGAAACAGGACAUGAUUUGUUUCAAAUAAUUCAGCCCUAUACAGUGCCCAUAAACAAAUGCACCUUUGUGCUUAGAAAUACAUACAGAAUGCCAAGAUAAUUAAAUGUUCCUAACCGUCUUUAGGAAAAAAAGAAAAUGUAAUGACUUCGGUAACGGAAAUAAUACAGACAAUGCUAAUUUGAGCACAGCUUCUUAUAUACGUCUGCGUUUGAACUGGUUUGUGGAAAAACUGUGAAAAGGGAGUGGUUCUACAUUCACCACGAUGCCUUCCUAGGACUCACCAUUCCCCGCCGAACACGUGGCCUAGAUUGCCCUCUUCAUUAGUUGCAUGAAAGGAUCCUACUUUGAACUCUUAACUUUCUUAUCCUGCCCAUGUGGCCACGAGAUUCACAUAAUUAAUUAGAUUAUGAAUUUUACAAAUUAGCGACAAAGACACUCACCAAACCGGCCAGAUUCCAUAUAGAGUUCCAAGCUCCGUAACAAGAUCACUUCGUGCUUUAAAAUUAUUACAUAAUUAAUUGGAUUCAAUCCUUUCCAUUCACUGGAUAAAUGGGUUACUUAACACAGCCUUGUCCAGUUUUGAUCUGCCUCCAGUUAUUGCUCUUGUAUUUUCAGUGUUGUUCUGCGAAGCUUUGCUCUCAUGAUCAAAGCUCUGCGUUACUCCAAUUUAAGCAACUCUUUUCUUUUGAACAACAUUCUUCGUAUGAUUGUGAUGAAGUAUAUCAACAAUCUUGUCCAAAGAUGAUGUCUUGGAAAGAGGAUGCUGAUUGCUGCUCAUGGGAUGGAGUAACAUGUGAUACGGUGGCUGGUCACGUGAUUGGCCUCGACCUUAGCUGUAGUUGGCUUCACGGCAAUAUCCCUUCCAAUAGUAGCCUUUUCUUUCUUCCUCACAUACGAAAGCUCAACUUGGCUUUCAAUGAUUUUAAUUACUCCGAGAUUUCUUCUGGUUUUAGUCAACUUCGGAGCUUGACACUCCUUAACCUCUCUUCCAGCAAUUUCAUGGGGUCAAUUCCUGCAUCAAUAGGUAAUAUCACCCAACUUUCUUAUUUGGAUCUUUCAUAUAAUAAUUUUAAUGGUCACAUACCAUCUUCCUUUUCAAAUCUUGAGCAGCUUCAUUAUUUAAUUCUGAGGAGCAAUUUUUUUCGUUGGUAAAAUGUUGAAAAGUUAAAUAUUUAUUUGUUAAUUUAAAAAAAGUAAAGUUGGUGGGUUUGUAAAUUUCAAAAGAUAAAGUUAGGUUUUGAAAAGUUUGUACAUGCAAUUGGGUGAUGUUGAAAAUUGAAUAUAGCAACAAAUUACAUAUGUAAUUGUUGACAAAUAUGGAUGACUUUAAUGCAUGUAAUGCAAGAUCCAACUCAACGUUUUGACCAAUUGAACCCAAUUUGGUGCAAAAUGCUUUUCUAUCAAUUUUCAAUAUCACCGAAUUGCAUGUACAAGCUUUUCAAAACCUUUUUCAUGCUUUUAAAAUCUAACUUUGUCUUUUGAAAUUAGCAAGCCGACCAACUUUGCUUUUUAAAAAUUGGCAAGUCAUUAUUUGACUUUUCAACAAUUCUCCACCUCGACGAAGAUUUAAUAAAUGUGAGCCGAUUAUCAACAAAUUAUCUUCCAAUCUUUGCCUUUUCCGACUGCUUUCAACUUGAUGUUAAAACUACAUUUUUACAUGAUGAUUUGGAAGAGGAAAUUUACAUGACUCAGCUAGAUGGAUUCAAGGUUGCUGAAAAAGAAAAUUGGGUUUGCAAAUUGACAAAGUCGCUUUAUGGAUUGAACAAUUUUCGAGACAGUGGUAUAAACGAUUUGAUCGAUUUAUGAAAGGACAAAGGUACACAAGAAAUAAAUUUGAUCAUUGUGUGUAUUUUCGCAAGCUACAAGAAGAAUCUUUCAUUUAUUUGCUGUUGCAUGUCGAUGAUAUGGAAAUAGCAUCGAAGAGCAAAGAUGAGAUUGAGAAGUUGAAAACUCAACUCAAUCAAGAAUUUGAGAUGAAAGAUCUAGGUGAAGCUAAGAAGAUUCUUGGCAUGGAGAUAUGCAGAAAUAGAACUUGUGGCAAAGUAAGCUUGUCUCAAAAGUAAUAUUUGAAGAAGGUACUACAACAGUUUGACAUGGUAGAGCAGACAAAAUCUGUGAGUACCCCGUUGGCUUCUUAUUUCAAGCUUUCUGCACAACUUUCUCCUUCAACAGAUGCAUAACGAGAAUACAUGUUACAAGUUCCGUAUUCAAAUACACUAGGUAGCUUGAUGUAUGCAAUGGUGUGUAAAAAGCCUGACAUUUCACAUUUAGUUGGUAUAGUGAGCAUGUAUAUGCAUAAUCCUGGUAAAGGGCGUUGGCAAGCUGUGAAAUGGAUUCUACGGUGCAUUCAAAAGACCAUGGAUGUUGGUUUGUUGUUUGAGCAAGAUGAUACACUUGGUCAAAGUGUGAAUGGGUACGUCGAUUCUGAUUAUAUUGGUGAUUUGGACAAACGACGGUCAAUCACCGGAUAUGUAUUUAACUUUGCUGGAGGGCCAAUCAAUUGGAAGUCUACACUACAGUCUACAGUUGUACUGUCGACCACAGAGGCCGAGUACAUGGCAAUUACAAAGGCUGUUAAAGAAGCUAUUUGGUUACAAGGCUUGCUUGAAAAUUUGGGAUUAGUAUAGGAGCACAUUAAUGUAUAUUGCGACAGUCAAAGUGCUAUUCACUUAACAAAGAACCAAGUUUAUCAUGCAUGUACGAAGCAUAUUGAUGUACGAUUUCACUUUGUGCGGGAAAUUGUUGAUGAUGGGAAGAUUCUUCUUCAGAAAAUUAAGACUGCAGAUAAUCUCGCAGAUAUAUUGAUAAAGGUAGUGACGACGAUCAAGUUUGAGCAUUGUCUAAACUUGAUCAAUAUCCUGCAAGUUUGAAAGCAGUCGGGGAAGGUAGAGAUUGGAGGAUGAUUUGUUGAUAAUCGGCUCAGAUUUACUAAAUCUUCGCCGAAGUGGAGAAUUGUUAAAAAGUCAAAUAAUGGCUUGCCACUUUCAAAAAAGCAAAGUUGGUCGGCUUGCCAAUUUCAAAAGACAAAGUUAGGUUUUGAAAGCAUGAAAAAAGUUUUGAAAAUCUUGUACAUACAAUUUGGUGAUGUUGAAAAUUGACUAUGGCAACAAAUUACACAUGUAAUUAUUGACAAAUAUGCAUGACUUUAAUGCAUGCAAUGCAAGAUCCAGUUCAACGUUUUGACCAAUUGAACCAAACUUGGUGCAGAAUGCUCUCUAUAAAUAGAGAAGCAAUUUGCAAUUGUAAGCAUCCCAAUUUGAGAGAAGUAGAGAGCAAUUGCAAGUGAGCUCUUUGAGAGAUUUGAGAGAGAGUCAACUUAAGUGUUCUAGUGAGGUUCUAUUUGCGUGUAUUGGGGUUGUGGGUUUUGUGAGCUUUUCUCACUUUUAUAAAUUCUCAUUUGUUAGUAAAAUUAUCUUCUAGUUUUUGUCCGUGGACGUAGGCAUUACGCCGAACCACGUAAAUUAUUGUGUCCUAUUUUCUUUGCAUUUAUUUAUUACCACAUGCAUAUUUCUCCAGAAGUCGCAGUAUUAGUAAUUGCUCAACCUCGCGCUUUCGCAACAUAAAAUUCCUGAUAUUUUUACCAAUCUAACCCAACUUUCUUACUUAGAUUUCAGUAGUAACCAACUUUCUGGCUCAAUUCCGAGUUCAGUCUAUGAGCUUGAGAAUUUGAUUCUUCUCAGACUUCCUUCAAACAGAUUAAGCGGCACCACUGAACUGUACGAUUUUGCAAAGCUCAAAAAUCUUAAAUGGCUAUUUGUUUCUAAUAAUAGAUUAUCAUUGAGCACCAAAUUAAAAGUCAACUCUUCCUUUCCCAAUCUUUUUGGGUUGGGUUUAUCUGCUUGCAAUAUAAGUGAAUUUCCGGACAUCUUGAGAACCCUGCAUCAAUUGCAGUGGUUUAACCUUUCUAAAAACCGAAUUCAUGGUAGGAUUUCUAGUUGGAUGUGGGACUUAGGAAUAACUGCUUUGUAUUACCUAGAUCUUUCCAACAACUUCCUGACAAACAUUGAAUAUUUUCCACCAACAAAUAUGACCCAACUUAACUUUGAUUCGAACCUAACACACAAGGUCUUGGAUAUGAGAAUGAACAACUUCAAUGGAAAAAUCUCUCAAAAGUUUGUAAACAGUUGUAAUUUGACAAAUCUUAACCUUAAUGGAAAUCGGCUGGAAGGACCACUGCCACUAUCUUUGGUGAAUUGUCAUCACUUGGAAGUUUUAGAUGUUGGGAAUAAUCAAAUUAAUGAUAACUUCCCCAAUUGGUUAGAAAUUCUUCCAGAAUUACAAGUUCUUAUCUUGCGUUCCAAUAGAUUUUGGGGUCCCAUUGGUGACAACACAACAAUAGUUCCAUUCCCUAGGUUCAGAAUAAUUGAUUUGUCUCACAAUGAAUUCACCGGAGUUUUACCAACAGGAUAUCUUGAUAAUUUUAAAGCCAUGAUGCAUGGGAAUAAUAAUAGUGUUGAAGUGGAUUAUAUGACACCUUUGAAUUCUUCUAAUUACUAUGAAUCAAUAAUUUUGACUAUCAAAGGCAUUGACAUCCAAAUAGAGAGAAUUCUAACCAUUUUUAUGACAAUUGAUUUGUCGAGUAAUAAAUUUCAAGGAGGAAUUCCAGAAGUGGUGGGAAAGCUCAAUUUACUUAAAGGUCUCAACAACAUUUCUCACAACAACCUUACAGGUGAUAUUCCAUCAUUGUUGAGAAAUUUGACCGAGGUCGAAUCUCUAGACUUGUCUUCAAACAUGCUUGUUGGGCAUAUUCCAACGCAAUUGACGAGUCUGAAAUAUCUUUCAGUGCUAAAUCUUUCGUACAACCAGUUUGAGGGACCUAUACCUCAAGGAUCCCAAUUCAAUACAUUUCGAAACGAUUCCUAUGUUGGUAACUCAGGGUUGUGUGGAUUCCCAUUGUUAGAAAGCUGCAACAUUGAUGAGGCGCCAGAACCAGUAGGGUCAACAAGAUUCGGUGAAGAAGAAAAUGCUUCAAGUUGGUUUGAUUGGAAGUUUGCUAAGAUGGGUUAUGGAUCUGGAUUGGUGAUUGGCUUGUCCAUCGGAUACAUAGUAUUUGGGACUGGAAAGCCACGAUGGCUUGUAAGGAUGAUUGAAAAGAAUUAAUCUAACAAGGUCAGGAUAAGAGUGAGCUGUCUUGGUAUCGCAAGAAAAAAUUAGUAAGUGCAUCACUUUCUCAUAUUAGUUUAAGUAGGUUGCAUGCUGAUAUUUUCCAUCAUCUCAACUAAUAUUUUAACCAUAUAUUAAUAAUCUGAUGUGUUUUUUCUUCAGGAAUUUUACACUUAUGGAAUGGAAUUAAGCUGUCGAAGUCAAAUAAUCACCCUCCAGGUACAGAAAUUAAUUUCCAAUUCCUAAUAAUAUACUACGACUUAAUUCUUUUGUUGGUAAGCUUGAUCAAAAUUCUGAGGGAAAAAAUCAUUUGAACAAAUAAUGUUGAUGUAGGAAAUGGGGUUGGGGCAGCUUGAUUUGGUGUAUCUUGCCUUCGGUAGGCAUGUUGUGAUUUGGGCGUUUUGAAGAAGCUGAAGCUUGCGACGAGCAGAAAAAUAUUCACAGCCUUUAGCUACGAUGCAUGCGAUUUUUGCCGAAUUUCAUUGUUUGAGCUUUCAUGAGUGGAUACUCCCUUUUCCACGACUUAUACAACUUCUAAUAUUUUUAUUUUCUUAUUUCUAAUAGAAAUUCAUGUGCUACUUCAAUUUUUUAUCAAUAAAUUCCCAAAUCCCUCCAAAUUAAUUACAUUGUUUUCGUGACUCAUAAUCCAAUAAAAUUGCUCUUGAAUCCUUGUACUAAUUGAAUGGUUAGUUGUGCAUAAAAUGCAUGAACAAAGGAGCCACUUAAAUUUAUAAAAUAUAUUCAACGACAAACGAAUAUAGAGAUGUCUGGUAUUCACAGUUUCAUCAAACAGUACUAAAAUGGGCUAAUCUGGAAACUUGAUUUUUAAAUGAAAUAUAAAAUAAAAUAGCGGUUGAACAUGAUCACCCCUACUGUAUAGGCUAUAGCUCAGAAUUCUGUAGAUUAAUUGGACCGGACUAUCACAGUUCCGGCCUAAUGGUCCUUUUAAAAACGGCCCAGGCCGUGCCACGUCAACAUCAAAAGAUCGUCCACGUCAGCACUCAAGAUUAUAAUCUUAUAAAAAAAGGCUGUGGAAAUUCAUCGUAUACUUGGAUUUUGUUUUCACUGUUCAAAGAUCUUUUGUUUCCCCUGUAUAUUGAGAUUUUGGCAUCAAUAUAAUUAAUUAGAUUGUUUUAACUCAUUUCAAUUAUACCUAUACUAUAUAUUUCGCUAGUUUGCAUAAUAUUGUCAUGAACAAUAUAACAGCUAAUCUGAAUCAUCAAAUCAAUAACAAUAUCAAAAUACUAACUGCCAACAGCUUGUUCUAGAGAUUAGAAUUCUCUCUUUAUUUGAAUUUUCUUAAGUUUUUAACAAUCUUUUGUCAUAUAUCAUGUAAUAAUAAUGUAUGCAUAGGAAUAAAUUUAUCUAUUUUUUAAAUUUAUUAACUGCCGAUCAACACAUGAAUUUUUACUCAAGAAAAAUUCAGAUCAUAAGAGAUUGUUAAUCCUUCUUUUAGAUAGCAUGCACGAUAAACACACGUAUGCUUUUGGAUAAAAUGUUGUAAAAAACAGUGCAUGCACUUUGUCCUCUUUAUCACUUAUUUAGCAAUGCUUCAUGACUCUAUCACCAAAAUGAUCAUGGUAUUAGUCUAUUAGAACCCCUAAGCUCAUGGCAUUGCGUCAUUGAACACAACCCACAAUUAGCUUUCAUUUGAGGAAUGGCACCAGAACCAGACAUGAUUACUAAUUAAUUAUAUUUUUUAGUUUUGUUGCUGUUGAUUAAUUAAUUUAAGAGAAUAUGUAUAUUCUUGGCAAGCUGGCUAGAAAUAACAAGCCCUUCAAUUGAGAGCCAAAAAAAAAAAAUCACAUCUAGUCAGAGGAGAGUCUACUGAGGACACGUGUAAUGGGAUGGGGCCUUCAUAAGGUGUUUUUGUUUCCUACCUUUAAUUUUUCUUCCUUUUUAUAUGACGCCAUUUCCACUAAUUAUAAUUUUUUUAAUCUAAUAAGUAAUAUAUGAAAGAAAAACUUUAUGAUAUAAAAAGUUAUAUCAAAAUAAUAAACUACAAGUAAAUUUGCAUACCUUCAUUUAGUGUUGUUCGAGUAUAGAAAACACUCAAACAUAUUACGGAUCUUCUAGCCUAUUCCUUCUUGAUAGCCUUAAUAAGUUGUUGGGGCCAGGCUAGCUAGGGGCCCCAUAGAAUUUGCAAUGGACUUGAUCAUUUUCUUCUACUAAGAAAAUUAAAAAAAUUCUUCUUUAUCUUAAUCCUUCAGGAAUUCGUGAAUACUCGUUAUAUCAUUAUCCAAUCCUUUAGAAACAUGCGAGCAUUUAUAAUUAUCUUUUAAUUAAAACUAACUGGCUACAUAUAUGUGAGCUCUAAUUAAAUCUCGAUCCAUAUAUGUGAGCCACAUCUAGAAAAGUGAGUCUAACCAUAUAUAAUUUAUUGUAAGCCAUCGUCAAUGCAAUCAUUAUGUUAUUUCCAUUCAAAUUAAUCACGAUCAUCACACAACUGAUCAUGCAUACACUCAUAGACUUGUUUCAGUACCGCUGUGAUAUUUGAUUAAGCUGUAUUAAUUUAUCUUACGUAAAAUUAAGACUUGGUCGUGAUCAGACAGCAAGUAAAGUGUGAGAAUGUAUAAUCUGAAUCUAGAGGAGUUGGGGGCUUUUGAUUUUCGAUAUGCAAAGAUUCACAGCUGAGAAAUUUCAAUUAAUACCACCAUUAUCUCCACAAAUUGCCACUAAGAAAAGUAUUGUUGGUCAUGGCCAUUAUCUCCACAACAAGGAUUCCACUCCCCAUCUACGUAGAUUCCAAAACAAGGCUUGGUGCACUAAGUCAACAAGUAUUAUAUUAUAUAAUUAAUACUUGAUGAAUAGCCAUGCAUUUCUCUUCUAUAUAAACUCAUAUAUCUCUCUUGUGAUUUCAUCGGGAACCAAAAAAGAAAAAAAGGGCUAUUUCACUCAGUAGUAUCAACUUUUGAUCUGCCUCCAGCUACGUUUUGUGUUUUCGGUGUUCUGCUAAACUCUGCUCUCAUGACCAAAGUUCAGCAUUGCUCCAACUUAAGCAACUCUUUUCUUUGGGAAAAAGUUGUAGAAUAUCAAUAAUCUCGUCCAAAGAUGAUGUCUUGGAAAGGGCAUGCCGAUUGCUGCUCCACUGAAUGAACAAAUUCAGUGGCAAUCUCUCUCAUACGUUUGCAAAAACUAGUGUUUUGUCAAGUCUUAACCUUAAUGGCAAUCGGUUCGAAGGAUCAUUGCCUCUGUCUUUACGAAGGAUCAUUGCCUCUGUCUUUGUUGAACUAUCAGUAUUUGGAAGUUUUAGAUUGAAGAGAUUGUAAAGUUAUACAAAUUGAACCAUAUCAAUCACUCCCAAGAUCACUGAUUCAGAUUUCCAAGAUGCAAAAAAGAUGAUCUGAUUAGCUAAUAAUGAUGAAUGAACCGAUGAUCAGAAUGAUGAAUUGACCAUAAACAAUCAAUAGAAACACAAAACCACAAGAAAGAACACAAGACACAGCAAAUAAUGUGGUUCAGUCAAUUUGCAUUGACUUACAUCCACGAGAGGAACAAAUCGAUCAGUUUAUUGAUUGAAUCAAGUUUUCUUUACAUAGUGGAUACAGAGCUAUGUUCAAGGAACAAGAAGACCUUCUUCACUUAAGCUUUUUUUUUUCUCUCUCUCUCUCUCUCAAAACCUCUGGAUCUCUGUGUUUGUUAAACCAGAACCAGUUGCAUUUCUAGGUUUAUAACGAACCCAGUUACUUGCCCAAUAUUGCACGUGAGAAGCAAAUGCUUUUAACAUCUUUAACAACCUUUACACAUCAUUCAAAACUUCACGUGCACUGCUCAUGGUUCUUUAAGUUCCAGCAAAGUUCUAAGUCGUUUAAACAAGUAAUAUUAAGACACCAUUAAACACAGAUCAGAAUGUUGUUUUGCUUAGCUUCAGUCACCAAAAUGCAUUGCUUUCUUGUUGUUUCAUCGAUCUUUUGAUUUGAUUCACUUUGCUUCAACAAAAUCUCCACCUUGAAACAAAUCAAACCUGACUAGCGUUUCGCCUCAUCCCUCUGCAAUUUAGAGACUACAUAAACUAACCAUGUUCAAGUAAACCUUGAACUUAGCUGUUGGAACCACUUUUGUAAGCAUGUCUGUAGAAUUAUUGUUUGUAUGAACCUUCAACAUUUUGAUCACACCUUUUGACACUUCAUUUCUGAUAUAGUGUAAUUUGACAUCAGGAUGCUUGGUUCUCUCAUGAUGAGCUGGAUUUUCACUCAAGUAUAUUGCACUAGAGCUAUCACAGUGAAUUUCGACAGUUUCUUGAGCUAUCCCUAAUUCUGCAGUCUCCCUUUGAGCCACAAAGCUUCUUUGACUGCCUCUAUACCUGUUGUAUAUUUAGCCUCUGAUGUUGACAAAGCAACAACAUGUUAGAGACUUGCUUUUUAGUUGAUAAUGCAGCCAUCUAGCAUAAACAUAUACCCUGUUAAAGACUUUCUUCUAUCAUAGUCCUCAGCAAAAGCUGAGUCCACAUAACGCCACGAGCCACUACUUAUGGCAUAUAACAAUCUAUAUUUCUGAGUACCAUUGAGAUACCUCAAUGUUGACUUGAUUGCUUGCUAGUGCUCUUUCCCAUGUGCUACUAUAUAUCUGCUUACAAUGCUUAAAGCGUCAGAAAUAUUAGGUCUUGUUAAGACCAUAGCAUUCAUUACAAUCUCCACAGCAUUGGCAUAUGGAACUUUUGCCAUUUCAGACUUUUCUUUAUCUGUUUUAGCACACUGCACAUUUAAGAGUUUGAAAUGAGAUGUCAAUGGCGUCAAGACAGGCUUACAGUUUGUCAUACCAAAGGUGUUAAGCACCUUUUUUACGUAUUUCUCUUGUGAGAGAAAUAUAGUUUUUUCUUUUCUGUUUUUUUUUUUUAUUUCCAUACCUAAGACCUUCUUGGCAUGUCCUAAAUCCUUCGUCUCAAACUCUAAACUCAGCAGCAGCUUUAAGGUUUCAAUCUCAUCUCUUUAUUUACAAGCUAUUAACAUAUCAUCUAUAUACAUCAACAAGUAUAUGUUGAGAUGUGUCUUAAGUAGCUUGUAAUAUACCCAACAAUCAAAGCUGCAUCUAUUGAAAAUAUUUGAGGUAAUGAACUCAUAAACCUGCUAUACCACUGUCUUGGGGACUACUUCAAGCCAUCUAGUGAUUUUUUCAAUAAAAACACAUAAUCAGCCCUCUUUGGUUUCAUAUACCUCUCUGAUUGAGUCAUCAGAAUCUCUUCUUGUAGUCAUCAAUGCAAGAAAGCAGUUUUGACAUCAAAUUGAUCAAGGUCCAUGUCAUGAACUGCUGUUAAAGUUAAUAACAUUCUUAUUGAAGCAUGUUUGACUACAGGUGAAAAAACUUCCUUGAAGUCAACUCCCUCUCUUUGGGUAUACCCCUUGGCUACUGACCUGGCCUUAAAGCUCCUGGGUUCUAUAGUUGUUAGGCCUUCUUUAACCCUAUAGAUCUAUUACAGCAAAUUAAUCUCUUAUUGUUAGGUUUCCUUACCAGCUCUCAAGUGUUGUUCUUGUAAAGUGAUGACAUUUCUUCAUCUAUAGCCUGCUGCCAUUAAGUCUUGAAUAUGCUUUGCAUUGCUUCUUUACAACUGCUUGGUUCUUCUCUAUCAAUUUUAUGUGAUGUAGCAAGUGCAUAUACAAUGACAUCUGCAUAGCCAAAUCUCUUUAGGAGUCCAAUCGUUCUUCUUUCUCUGUUUUUAGCCAAAUGAUAAAUCUUCUAACUGAGGCUUAUGACGUCCUCUGGUUUUGUCACUAUCAUCAACACCACCUUCAUCUGAAUCGAUAGCUACAUUUGAAGGUUUUUAUAUUGGCUACUCCACUUCAAAUUGAACAUUAUCAUCAGUUUUAUCGUUAAGUCCAGUAUCUCCGGUAGAUUGAUUCUUAUUCAAUACCACUUCCUUAUUAAACACCACAUCUCUAUUGAUUAUACAUUUAGGUAUAGACAAAUUUGUACACCAUAUCAGAGCUCUUUCUGGAUAACCUAUAAAUAGCUCUUUCAGAGCUCUUGGUGCCAAAUUGCCUUGAUUUAUAUGUGCAUAAGUAGUACAUCCAAACACUUUUAUUUUGCUGUAGUCUACAGGUUUACCAGACCACUUUUCAUGAGGUGUUUUGAAAUCUAUAGUUGAAUAAAGACUAAGAUUUACUAGUAAAUAAGCUACCAACAAGGUUUCUGCCUAUAACCCUUUAGGUAACUCUAAUUGAAUCAUCAUACAUUUGGCUUUGUCCAUUAGAGUUCUAUUCAUCCUUUUAGUUAAUGCAUUCUAUAUCUAAUAAUGCCUUCACUUGAACAGAAUUAAUUAACUAUCUGAUUGCAAUACUUAAGUCUAUUGUUUGUUUUCAGCUUCUUCAGUUUCUUUGCUGUUUGGUUUUCAACAAGAGCUUUCUACUCUUUAAAACUUCCCAAACACUUGGUCUUUAGUUAUGAGAAUAUACAACCAAACCUUCCUUGAGAAAUCAUUAAUGAUAGACAUGAAAAGUCUAUUUCCACCCAAAGAUGGAACGUUUGAAGGUCUCCACAGAUCUGAAUGCACAUAGUCCAGGAUGCUUUUGGUUUUGUGAAUAGAUUUCUUUAAACUAACCCUUGUAAAUGUCCCUAGAAUACAAUCCUCAUAGAAAUCUAGCUCUCUAAACUUAUCAGUUCCCAAAACACCCUGUUUUUCUAAUUUUUUAAGAUCUUUCAAGCUCAUUUAUCCAAUCUUAAAUGCCACAAUAUGAUAUUAUUUAUAUUAGUCUUAGUUGACACACUAGAUUCACUAGUCACUAUUUCACGAUCUAAGACAGAAACACCAUUUUUUUAAAGUCUCAAUCAUAAUUAGUGUUGUACCAUUUAAGAUCCUCAGUUCACUAUAUUCAACCUUGAAACUACAUCUUACCUGAUCAAGCGCCUCUAAAAGAAAUUAGAUUUCUCUUUAGGUCUACUACAUGCAUGACUUGCCUAAUUUCCCUUGCAGUCCCAAUCAUUAGUUUAAGGCUUAUGUCUCCCAUCUCAAUGACUUUACAUGCUGCAUUGUUACACCAAAAUCAACUGCAAUUUCAGGUUUAUAACAAACCCAGGUACCUGCCUACUAUCGCGCGUGAAAAGCAAGUGCUUUUAACAACUUUAACAACCUUUACACGUCAUUAAAAAAUUUCACAUAAAAUGCUGAUUUUUCUUUAAGUUCCAAGUCAUUUAAACAAGUAGUGUUAAGACACCAUCAAACACAUAUCAGAAUGUCAUUUUGCUUAAGCUUCAGUUACCAAAACUUAUUGUUUUCUUGUCGUUUCGUCAAUCUUUUGAUUUGAUGCACUCUAGUUCAACAUAGAUGUUGGGAAUAAUUAGUUUGAAGGUACCUUUCCCUAUUGGCUAGAAGUUUUUCCUAAAUUGCAAGUUCUUAUAUUAUGUUUAAAUAGAUUUUAGGAUCCCAUAGGUGAUACCAAAGCAAGAGUUCCCUUCCCUAAGUUGAGAAUGUUUGAUCUCUCUCACAAUGAACUCAUCGGUGUUUUGCCAAUAUUUUGGAUCAUUUUAAAAUUUUAAUAAAAUAACUGAAUUUAUUUAUAAAAAAUAAAUCCCAAAAUUUUAAUAAUUUAGGAGAUUUUUAUUAAAUCCAAAAAUUUUGUAAUUAUUUUUAUACUUAUAUUUUUAUUAAAAAUAAAAAUUCUAAUUUUUAGAUUUAUUUCUUUAUUAAAUGUAGGAGUGUUUUUAUAUAAAAUAAAAUCAUCUUUUAAUUUAUUUAGGGGUAAAAUUAUUAUUUCGUUUAAAUUAUUUAACGGUGUUAAUGCAAAAGUGGCUAAUUGAUACAAAUUUCAAAAGAAAGGUGGCGCAAAGAACAUGUUAGAAUUUUGUGAUGGUUGGAUGAAAAUAAAACAAAAAAAAAGUGGUGCAAUAAUAAUUUCCCAAAAAAAAUGACAAUCAAAGGCAAUGGCGUAAAAGAGAAAAGGAUUCUAACCGCUUUUGUUGUUAUUGAUUUGUCGAGCAACAUAUUUCAAAGAGGAACUCCAUAAGUGGCGGGAAAGUUUAAUUUACUAAUGUCUGGACAUUUCUCACAACAACCUCAUGGGUGGUAUUCUAUCAUUAUUAGGAAAACUAACACAGCUUAAAUCUCUAGACCUAUCUUCAAAUAAGAACAAUAUAUCUUUCUCGAUCAAUCACCUUGCCCCUCAUUCUUCGAGAAUAAAAAAUAUCAUUUUCAUGUUUCAAUUUGUUCAUUUGGAAUCUGGGUUCGCUCCUUUAUGGAAGAUUGAUAUAUUCCCAAAGAGAAAUCGGGGGCAAAAUAACAAAAGUCAACCCAUAACAUCUAUGUGAGCUUUUUUUUUUUUUUGGUCUGAAUGAAUUCAAAACAAUCCGCUUUUCUAGAUGAUCCUUCUAGAAGAGUGGGAUUAUAACAAUACCAAUCUUUCUAGUUACAUCAUUCUCUAUUACUAAAUGAAAGAAUCCUUAGGAAAAGUUUUUUGUUUCCCCCGAGCUAAAUUAAAAAAAUCUCUUACAAUGCUAAAUCUUUCGUACAACCACAUUGAGGGACCCUAUACCUCAAAGACCCCAAUUCGAUACGUUUCAAAAUGAUUCCUAUGUUGGUAACCCCAAGUUGUGUGGAUUCCUAUUGUCAAAAAACUACAAGAAAUUUGACUUUUUAAGACGAUUUUUAUUAUGACAUUUGUAGAGUUUGUCAAAAAAUAAUACUUAUUGUGACGAUUUUUUAAAAUCGUAGCCAAUGAUCUCAUCCUAGCUCAUCUUAUAUUUUGUAACAAAUAAUAUUUAUUUGGGACCCAUUAAUUGGUCACCUAAUCAAAUAUUUUGCGACAAACAUAAAAUGAGUCGCAAAAGUACAUGCUUUUUUUAGCACAACAAAAUAUCAUCUUUAAUGACAAAAAAAUAUGGUAGCGAAAUAUAAUCAUAGGUGACAUAAUUAUUUCAUAACUAAAUGAGGGAUGUAAAAUUAAUCAAACCAUUUGUAGCAAAAAAAAAAAAAAAAACUCCAAAACUAAUAUGUUGUUGACUAAUUUUAGAACCCUAAUUUUUUAUCGCAAAUAAUUACCUAUUGUGACAUAACUAAAAAAUAUUAGUUUAAAAAUUUAUCUUGUGUUAUAUUUCAUGACCCAUUUUGUUGGAUGAAAAUAAAACAAAAAAAAAGUGGUGCAAUAAUAAUUUCCCAAAAAAAAUGACAAUCAAAGGCAAUGGCGUAAAAGAGAAAAGGAUUCUAACCGCUUUUGUUGUUAUUGAUUUGUCGAGCAACAUAUUUCAAAGAGGAACUCCAUAAGUGGCGGGAAAGUUUAAUUUACUAAUGUCUGGACAUUUCUCACAACAACCUCAUGGGUGGUAUUCUAUCAUUAUUAGGAAAACUAACACAGCUUAAAUCUCUAGACCUAUCUUCAAAUAAGAACAAUAUAUCUUUCUCGAUCAAUCACCUUGCCCCUCAUUCUUCGAGAAUAAAAAAUAUCAUUUUCAUGUUUCAAUUUGUUCAUUUGGAAUCUGGGUUCGCUCCUUUAUGGAAGAUUGAUAUAUUCCCAAAGAGAAAUCGGGGGCAAAAUAACAAAAGUCAACCCAUAACAUCUAUGUGAGCUUUUUUUUUUUUUGGUCUGAAUGAAUUCAAAACAAUCCGCUUUUCUAGAUGAUCCUUCUAGAAGAGUGGGAUUAUAACAAUACCAAUCUUUCUAGUUACAUCAUUCUCUAUUACUAAAUGAAAGAAUCCUUAGGAAAAGUUUUUUGUUUCCCCCGAGCUAAAUUAAAAAAAUCUCUUACAAUGCUAAAUCUUUCGUACAACCACAUUGAGGGACCCUAUACCUCAAAGACCCCAAUUCGAUACGUUUCAAAAUGAUUCCUAUGUUGGUAACCCCAAGUUGUGUGGAUUCCUAUUGUCAAAUUUUUUUCAGAGGCACAUUAUUUGUAUUUGACUCUUCUUUUGUUUUGUGUGACUAACAUUACAACACUGAAAAAAAAGAAGAACAAUAAUCAAGAUCCACGCCUCGUACAAAUUUGUUGGCUGGCCGCGGCAACUCCAACGACUUCUGGGCAGUGGUGGGGAUCGGAUUUUGAAGGUGUUGUUGUGAGGAGAUAAACUCAGGUGGUGGUGGUCGAAAAUCCGGUGGAUCUUGCCGAUCAUGGUCACGCUUUGCGGGAGAAACCGCAGCUUCGUGUGGCCGUUUCUUGCUACUUUCCGGUGGCGGCGAAGAUACGCGAGUGCUCGCUGGUGCUUGGGAGUUAAUAAUUUUACAUAACAUUCUGUCUCUUCAAUUGCUAAUCUCGCAAUAUUUCUUUCUCUUCCGGCGAGUUUUUGGAAACUUCUCCGAUUAGGUAAUUUUCGCCUACCCUGUUUGUUUGCUAGGAAACUAACCAAAGUAACAACAAUGUAUAACACUAUGUGAUUAUAUGGAUUGCUAACUAAAUGUGAUAGUUGCUUCAAAUGAAAAAAGAUUUGAGAUAUUAUGUUUGAUACUUAACUUGAAUUAGGGAAUGUGUGUAAAAGAUUUGAGUGUAAAUCAGCUCACAAAUGGAAAAGAAUACAGAAGCACAGUGGCUGAAAUGAUAGCCGUAUAUUAGUUUCUUGUAUAUUGAAUUGAAAUGAUUUAUUAAUUUCUGAAUUAUUUUGUUUCAUGUGUGAGGAAGUCUUUUGAUGCAAUAGCUUUUGAAACCGAACUUGUUUAGGUGCUUGUUAGAUUUGUUUCGAAGUGCUUUGAUGUUCUUGAUUUAUGAAUGCAAUUGUUUUCAAGAUGGUUUUAACAGGUCUCGGAUGAAGUUGAUGUCCUGUAUUUUUUUUUUCAAAUGAUUAUCGUGCAAUGCUUGCUACUAAAUCAUUCAAGUUAAAAGUAGAACCUGUGAUUGGCGAGGCAAAGGAAUCAACUGCAAUAUUGUUCUGUGCCAAAAUUUUGUUCUUGGAAAAACAGUUUAUACUAUAUAAUUUGUACGUGAACCAAAAGGGGAUGCAUCCUUUCCUUUGCAGGCUUGCUAAGUAUAUAAUCGGGCUCUUUUUGGGACAGCUCUCAUAACUUCAGUUGUUCUUAUCUUUAUUGCAAUUAUUCUCAUCCUUUCAAGUAAGAGGUAUAUUUUGAGAUUGACACUAAAAUCAUAGCAAAUGUUUAUUAUUAUUAUUGGAUCCUUUAUAGAAGAAAGGUAUUGACCAUCUGCUUCUUGAAAGCAGUGAUGAUGAUGAUCGUGGGAGACCAACAUGAUGCAGGUCUUUUUUUGAUUCAGGAUUCAAUAUUUACCUCUCUCCAUUUGAUCUAUUUUGGUAAAUAUUUUUCUAGUUUCAAACCUCAGUAAUAUUCCCUAUAUUUUAACAGUUCAAAAUUAAUUAUAUGAAAGUCACCAAUUAAGAAGUACAAAAUUGAACUGAGAUGACUUUCCAAUUUUCAUCUAACUGCAAACUUCAUUAUAGAAAACUUCAUGUAGUUGUGUUCCCUUCUUAAAUCAUGUAAGGUACUGGAAUCCAUAUUAUUAUAGAAGGUGACGAGUAGAGACAGAUGAUGAUGAUAAAGUCUUAUGGAUAUGAGGGUGGAAGGCAAUGAAUGUAGUUCUUCUCGUGACAAGCUUUGAAAUAUUAUUUUGAUCUACGCCCAAAUCUAAAAUACAAACGACGUCCAAGAUACACCAAAUCAAAGUUAUCCUCACACCAUUUCCUUCAGCAAUACAAAAUUAUUUCAAAUCAUUUUUCUCCUCAAAAACUUGAUGUUUAGUAAAUCUUACUUUUAAAAUAGUAUGAGAAUGUAAAUGACUUAAAUAGAUAUAAAUCUAUCAAAUUUAUUUACACAUGCAUUUAUAAAUAUGUGUAUAAAAUAAUAUUUUAUGUGUAUAUAUAAUAAUUGAUAACUAAAAUAAAUAUUUUAUUUUAUUAAAUGUAUUGCUUUUGUUAUCCCAAUUUUUUUGUCUACAUUAGUAAUGUUAUCCCAAUUUUUUUUUCUACAUUAGUAAUGUUAUCCCAAUAUGUUGUUAAUAAUAAUCCCUUUAUGUUAUGAAAUAAUUAUAAUUUAUGUGAAUGUUCAUCGAAGCAUUCUUUUAUCUCCUCACAAGCAACUUUUCAUCUCUUAUAAUUCCCAUUAUCUCCUUAAUUUAAGGAUUGUUGUCUCUCAUAAUUAUGAUGUAUUACUUACUACUUUAUGGUUGUAUCACUAUAAAAGGAGAUUUUUACUCCUUGUUUGUAUACACUUGGAAGUGUGAAUAACACAUAAGAGAUUGAAUAAAAUUUCUCUCUACACACAUUAUGUCUCUUAUUUGCUUUCUUUCUGUCUCUUGCUAUAUGGUUGUGCUUUUAAUUAAUAGAUUUUAUAACACAUUAUUAGCACGAGUCUCUAGCCACAAGAGAUCAAUUUUCAUCCUCUUUAAAAUAUGGUAAUAUCUCUUCUUUAAUCUUACUCAUAAAAGUAUGAAGUAACAAUCUUGAUUUUUCCUAAGAUGAUAUUUACAUUCGCAUAUGUAUUUUGAUAAUCUAGAAUAAUGCAUCAAUGAAUUCAUGCUUUAAUAUCAGCAUUACUUAUAUUGUUAUUGUUUGACAUUUCUUAUUCUAAUAUUCAAUUGCUAUUAUAUAUUUUCCAUUAUUGAAAUUCAAAAAGUUCAUCCUAAAGUGUGAAUACUAUAAUAUACAAUGAAAGAAAAUUAAGAAUGCAUCCUCGGGGGAUUGCAUUGCAUAUAAUGAAGAUUUUCUUUCAAAAUAGGUUCCUGAAGAACUAUUACAAAAUUAUGAUGUCAUUCGUCACUAUCUUGUUUAUGAAGGAUUGACUAUAUAAGUGUAUAUUUUAUAUGUCCCUGAAGGACGUGUAUAUUUUAUAUGUCCCUGAAGGACUAUGUAAUGCCCAAAUUUGUAUUAUUUUAUUUUUUAUGGAAUUUAUAAAUAGCGUUUUUGCCCUUAUAAAAAGGGUUAUCCAUGGGAUAAUUUUUAGUAAAGGGUUAUUUUUUCAAAUUCAAUAGGGUUUCUUAAGACUCACUAUAAAUUCAUAUUUUUCCCCUUCCAUAACCCUGAACCCAUGACGUUUCUUCUUCUUCUCUGCUGCUCAUUACGCUCUUACCCAAACCCUAGAAUUCAAGCUUUUGCUUAGGAGAGAAUCAAAGCGAUUGAUAAGUUUAUUCUCCUUAUUCCCCACAAGAUUUUCAAUCACUCUAUCUAGGGUUUAUAUUGGCAUGAUUUUAGAUUGUUAUAGAUUAUAAUGCAUGAUUUAGAAUGUGUUUAGACUUUGUUUAGGGUUUUGAUUUAUUAUGAGUUUAGUAAUCAAUCCUAGACGUAUUAAGCACACAUGAUAAUUCUAGACAGCAUGAGUAUCUCGAAUUUAAACCUAUAUUUUCUGAACGAUUUUUCUUAUGACCGUUUUUAAAACUUACAUUAUUUUUAAAAAUAAAAUUUACUAAAUAUUUAAUUUAUUAUAACUAAUUAUUUUUAUAGUACAACCACCAUCAAUUAUUUAAAAUUAUAGCAUUAGCAAUCCGGCUCUUAGCUACGAGCAAUGCGCCAGUAAUAUACUCGUCGUUGAUAAAAACUUGUCCAUUUCACCGGACUAACACUCGCGCCACGCUAUCACUCAAUUAUAAACAGAAAAUAUUCGGAUAAGAAAUUAAAGCCACUGAAUGAUUGAAUUUCGAGUCUUCAGAGAAAUGCAACAGCGCUCAAUUUCAAACAAAGAAGCAAAACGCCAGCGUUUUAGUGCCGCCACUGCUCAGCUCUCUCUACGAACUCUGCCCUCUCCUGCAAAAUUAUAGUUGGCCUCUCGAAAUAGGUGAAAACAUUAAUACCCUUUUCUUUAUUCUACGUUUCCGAGAAAAUGCAAGAAAAGGUUUCAAGUAAUUAAUUAUGUGACUUCUUUUUGUGUUAAUUUGAUAGACAGUGUUCGUUAUGGAACUGCAUUAUUGUUUACUGAGUUUAAAUUCUAGUGGCCAGAUUAUUUUAGAACAUGCAGAUUAAUUACAUUUAGUAAUAAAACAUACAGUAAUAGUAUUAAAAUUUCCAAUGUGGACACAACUUCUUCUAGAUAGCAUGCUUAAUAAUUAAACACGGAAUUGUUGAACACAGCUUCUGCAUGCUGCUGAUGCCUUAUGGACUGGUUUUGUGGAAAAUGCUCAAUAUUAUAUUGAUUAUCUUUUUAGUCAUUCACAUUCUUUACGGGUAAAAGACGCCGAGAAAGGGAAUGAUCAAAAAGAUAAACGAUAUUGACCGCUCGAUUACAACAGUGCCAGUAGAAUUGAUAGAAAAAGCUUUUGCACCAUGUAAGUGCUCAUUAAUUAAUGAUUUUCAGGAAGAAAGAAUUGUUCUAUCCCUGUUUGGAGUUUGAGCAACAUCCUUACAUCUGUAACAUUCAACUUUUUGAUCCUUCCAAUGAGUUUAAUUAAUUCAUAGCUGUGGAAAACGAGUUGGAAUAGUUUGAAAUUUUGUAAAAUUGGCCACGACUAAUGCACUCAAUUUUACUUGGUGCACCGAGUCUAAAAGUAUAAUAAUGGAUAGUUAGACUCCCUCCCUUAAUUUCAUUUCAUACUUGCACACCAUUUCUCUUCUAUAUAUAAUCAUGCAUAUCUCAGUUAUUGUGAUUUCAUCAAGAGCCAAGAAAAGAACAAAGAAAAAAAUGGGUUAUUUAACUCAGCCUUAUCAACUUGUCAUCUGCCUCCAGUUAUCGCUCUUGUUUUUUCAGUGUUCUGCAAAGCUUUGCUCUCAAGAACAAAGUUCAGCAUUACUCCAAUUUAAGCAACUCUUUUCCUUUGCAAAAACAUCUUCUUCGCAAUGUGAUGGAUACCAACAAUCUUAUCCAAAGAUGAAGUACUGGAAAGAGGAUGCUGAUUGCUGCUCCAGCUGGGAUGGAGUGACAUGUGAUAUGGUGACGGGUCAGGUGAUUGGCCUGGACCUCAGUUGCAGUUGGCUUCACGGCAGCAUCUCUUCCAACAGUAGCCUUUUCUUUCUUCCUCGCCUGCAAAAGCUCAACCUGGGUUCCAAUGAUUUCAAUUACUCUAAGAUUUCUUCUGGCUUUAGUCAACUCCGGAGCUUGACACUCCUUAACCUCUCUUCCAGCAACUUCACGGGGUCAAUUCCUCCA
rnacentral:lncRNA from 1 species